UAGGAGUCCAUCAAGGCAGAGCGGCAAGAGCCAGUUCAACCCAAUGGAAAUAGAUUAAAAGAGUGAAAGUCACUGGUCUCAAAGAAUCUACGGAAUUCAGCAUUUUGGAAAUCACAUAGCAAUUUUGGGUAGGUAUUCACAUGCACUAAAAAACCAGGCAAACAUCCGACUCCCAGGAUAAAGUGACUGAGAGCAGUAGAAGACUUGUUGAGCCGUAAGGAAUAAGAGGAAAAUUAUGUUAUGAAGUGCAGGAACAGCACAGACCCAGACGAGGGGAUGCAGCCCAGAGCCAGUAACCCGGUGCCUCCUCCUCCCCAGGAAGCAGCGCUGGCUGAUCCCCAGAUACCAUGAUCACACCGUCCCAGGUCCUGAGAGCGCCUCAUAGGUAGACAGUUCUUUGGGACUUUUGGGACGCAGCACUUGAAGAGAGGUCUACCUAAACUUUCCUCCUGGGAGCCUGUGAUCAUUUGAAAGUAACAGAAGAAAGUUGUCAGGCUGAGGAAAGUUUCAACAGGCACUUGGUGAGAAUGGGAAGCAUCCAUUCAUUGCGAAAUCGCGGGGACAGAGGAGGAAUUCACGGGAUCAGAGCACUGAGAAACUCCAGAGGCUUCUGGUUCACCGCCCUGAUUCCACAGAUGUGGGUCAGAGGCAGAGAUGGAAGUUGGAAUGGACAAGCCUGCCCUCUCAUCGGCUCUCCAUGGCUCUGUCCUCAGGCUGUUUCUGCAAUUUGACAUGAGGCCUGGCCCCAGGGAAACCAGUGGGGCCUCAUCUCCUCCCUGUGCUGCUCUGAGAUGGAGUCUUCUCAGGGUCAGUCCAGCUCUGGAGCCCCUCUCCAGCUCGGUCACCAAAGCUGUCUGGUCCCAGGGCGGUGCUGAGUGACAGGCACACCAGCCAGUCCAAUUGGCCAUUUCAUACCCAAUGCAUGUGACUGAUAAAGAGAUAACACCCUGUCUCCAAGACACAGGCUUUACAUAAACAGCUUUAAUGACCUCUUCACCUAGAG
rnacentral:lncRNA from 10 species